rnacentral:rRNA from 1 species
AAAUUGAAGAGUUUGAUCAUGGCUCAGAUUGAACGCUGGCGGCAGGCCUAACACAUGCAAGUCGAACGGUAACAGGAAGAAGCUUGCUUCUUUGCUGACGAGUGGCGGACGGGUGAGUAAUGUCUGGGAAACUGCCUGAUGGAGGGGGAUAACUACUGGAAACGGUAGCUAAUACCGCAUAACGUCGCAAGACCAAAGAGGGGGACCUUCGGGCCUCUUGCCAUCGGAUGU